rnacentral:rRNA from 1 species
UACGGGGGGGGCAAGCGUUGUUCGGAAUUACUGGGCGUAAAGCGUGCGCAGGCGGUUCUGCAAGUCAGAUGUGAAAUCCCCGGGCUCAACCUGGGAACUGCGUUUGAAACUACAGGGCUAGAGUAUGGGAGAGGGAGGUAGAAUUCCACGUGUAGCAGUGAAAUGCGUAGAGAUGUGGAGGAAUACCAAUGGCGAAGGCAGCCUCCUGGCCUAAUACUGACGCUCAUGCACGAAAGCGUGGGGAGCAAACAGG